rnacentral:sRNA from 1 species
AGCUCCUACUUCAUUCUACGGCCGAGACCGGAGGAUGUUCCCUGCUCAGGAGGAGGCCGACAGGACCGUGUUUGUUGGGAAUUUAGAGGCCCGAGUUCGGGAAGAGAUUCUGUACGAGCUGUUCCUUCAGGGAGUUCUCGCUCUUCUGAACCAGCUAACCAAAGUUUUGAGAGCUGUGUUAAGAUAAAUUCACACAACUACAGGAAUGAAGAAAUGGUGGUGGGCAGAUCUUCCUUUCCCAUGCAGUAUUUUCCAAUUAAUAAUACUUCUUUACCUCAAGAAUAUUUUCUCUUUCAGAAGAUGCAGUGGCAUGUGUAUAAUCCAGUGCUGCAACUUCCUUACUAUGAAAUGACAGCUCCACUUCCUAAUAGUGCAUCCGUGUCUUCCUCACUGAAUCAUGUUCCAGAUCUUGAGGCUGGACCCAGCUCAUAUAAAUGGACUCACCAACAACCAAGUGACUCUGACCUUUAUCAGAUGACAGCUCCACUUCCUAAUAGUGCAUCCGUGUCUUCCUCACUGAAUCAUGUUCCAGAUCUUGAGGCUGGACCCAGCUCAUAUAAAUGGACUCACCAACAACCAAGUGACUCUGACCUUUAUCAGAUGAAUAAACGAAAGAGACAAAAGCAAACAAGUGAUAGUGAUAGUAGCACAGACAACAACAGAGGCAACGAAUGUAGCCAAAAGUUCCGAAAGUCUAAGAAAAAGAAAAGAUACUAGUAUUACCUACACUGAUCUUAGUUCUCUUAUGAAAAAAAUAAGAUGUUAUUCCAUCAAAUAAACAAUGUCAUGGCUAUCUUGUCUUUUGAAAUAUAUAGUAAUAAGACUUAUCUCUGGUUUGCUGUUCAAUUUUUGCCUUGAACGACAAAAGCUUUCUAAAAAUAAUAUAAUGUACCACUUUUUGUAUUUGUCAUGAUAUUUUUGACCCAUUGGCAAUAAAUAGACUAUUGUCAUUUUAUUAGUACCAAUGAUGAAAUUUCACCAAACUAUUAAUCAAAAGUCACUUAUUGAACACAUUGAUAAAGCAUCAUGUUCCCUUUGAUUAUCCGCUGUAACCAACACUCAACUACAAAUAGGCUGGGAUUCAAUGUGGAGUGGUGGAUUUCCUGAAAGAAAGUAGUGCAGAUAUUUAAGGAUUGCAUAUUGUUCCUAAUGAGGAUGUAAUAAACAGGCAUUAGUACCCCUUUCUUUUAGUACCUAAAUAUGUUGUUUCUGAGCCAUAUUCUUCUUCAGGUUUAUUUUAUAAAGUGAGGACAUAUGAUAAUGAUACCAAAGGAAAGAUAAUUAUCAUGAAACCAACUUUUGGAUCAUUCCCUUUUUAUACAGUUAUGUAUUUAUAGGGAUACCUUCCUCUUCUCACAUAUUAAUUGUAUGUCAUUAAAAUCAGUUGGCUAUGUCAGUGUGUAUUAUUCACCUCUUUUGCUAGCAAGGUUUGAGAUGCUAUAUUAACAUUUAAAUCAUGAAAAUGAGCAAGUAAAUAGAAUAAUAUUUUAUUAAUAUAUGAUAUGUAAUACUUAUUGUCUAAAUCAAGUUUCCUAUUUUUGGUUUAUUUAUUUUAGAAGAAAAAAAUUAUUUGGGCA